GAGAGUUGAGAAUUUCUUACUAUUGCUAAUUAAGAAAUUCUUAGGUUUCAUUGUAUCCUGGGAGAGUAUUGUCAUCAACCCUAUAGCAACUAAGUGUGGGGACAAAUAUCUCUCUAAAGAAAGUGAUCUAAUCGUGCCUUAAAACCACUACAAAAAUAUAAGAUUUUGUCUUCUUCUCAUACUAAUAUACCCAACACGAGUAUACCCA